ensembl:lncRNA
GUAAGCUGAAGACAAAGCCACAAUGAAAUUGAAGUUAUGCUUAUAAAUAAAUAAUAUCCUAAUUUUCCCUGUAGCACAAAGCUGUGAGCCUUCUGAUAAAAUAAACUUAUUGCUUAGUGCCAUCUGCAUUUGUUUAUGGGAACUGUGUUUUGCUGAAUGUAGAGCAUGGAACAUUCCUGAAUAUGUUAAUGCUAUCGACUGUUCAUAGAUUAGCAUUUGCUGUCAAAGAAACAGUUGAAUUAGAGGAGGAAAUGACCUGUCAUACCAGCUUUACAAGAGGCCAUUAAACUCUGUGCAGAUCCACUGCAAGCAAAAUAAUGCAGCUUUCUCUACAGGAACAGAAGAUAUGUCUUUUUUCCUUCAGCUUGGAAAACUAUAAUUUUGAAGCUUGCAGCCUCAGCAGGGUUUGCAAGCAAGUUGAUCGCUGCUGGGGCAAGAGUGACCUCAGCUGGGAAGAACUGUGGGAAACCCGGCAAGGACUUGUUCCAAAACUAUGGAAGAAUGGGAGGGAGGUAGGGGAACCUCUAGUUUUUGCCAGAGCUAGGGUGAGAACUGGGCUCUGGGCAACACAGCACAGUGCAGAUGUCAGCACCACACCAAGCCAAGCACUCCGAGCACUGCCUGGACAUUGCAGAGGUUCAGCGAAUGACAAAGCUCUGUAAUCACAGGAGGAAAGCUGUGGGUCAGACACUAGGAGACGUGCACCCCUGUUCCAUGUGUGUAAAGUAGGACCUAUGCUCUUAACACACAAAUCAACCUAAGAAGCACUUGCUUAUAUAAGGACACCUGUAUUUCA